rnacentral:rRNA from 1 species
AAGACAGGUGCUGCAUGGCUGUCGUCAGCUCGUGUCGUGAGAUGUUGGGUUAAGUCCCGCAACGAGCGCAACCCUUGUCUUUAAUUGCCAUCAUUCAGUUGGGCACUUUAAAGAGACUGCCGGUGUUAAGCCGGAGGAAGGUGGGGAUGACGUCAAAUCAUCAUGCCCCUUAUGACCUGGGCUACACACGUGCUACAAUGGAUGGUACAACGAGUCGCAAAGUCGCGAGGCUAAGCUAAUCUCUUAAAGCCAUUCUCAGUUCGGAUUGUAGGCUGCAACUCGCCUGCAUGAAGCCGGAAUCGCUAGUAAUCGCGGAUCAGCACGCCGCGGUGAAUACGUUCCCGGGUCUU